AUUGAACGCUGGCGGCAUGCUUUACACAUGCAAGUCGAACGGUAACAGGCCGCAAGGUGCUGACGAGUGGCGAACGGGUGAGUAAUGCAUCGGAACGUGCCCAGUCGUGGGGGAUAACUACUCGACAGAGUAGCUAAUACCGCAUACGAUCUAUGGAUGAAAGCGGGGGACCGUAAGGCCUCGCGCGAUUGGAGCGGCCGAUGUCGGAUUAGGUAGUUGGUGGGGUAAAGGCUCACCAAGCCAACGAUCUGUAGCUGGUCUGAGAGGACGACAAGCCACACUGGGAGUGAGACACGGACAAGACUCCUACGGGAGGCAGCAGUGGGGAAUUUUGGACAAUGGGCGCAAGCCUGAUACAGCAAUGCCGCGUGCAGGAAGAAGGCCUUCGGGUUGUAAACUGCGUUUGUACGGAACGAAACGGCUCUGGUUAAUACCCGGGGCUAAUGACGGUACCGGAAGAAUAAGCACCGGCUAACUACGUG
rnacentral:rRNA from 1 species